AGCUAACUGGGAUUUCAGGGUUAGGAGGAUGGACAAACAUGAUUUUAGUGCCUCCUUUCCGGACAAAAGCUCGCUGGAAUCAUAUGCUAAACUGAGCAGUCUUGAGUUGCCUUUAUACAGUUACAGAGUUCAAGUUACCAAAGCCAACUCAGAUCUGAUGGCUUCAUCGGUGCUUCAGUGUGUUUGGAUCAAAAUUUACAACCUGCCGGACAUUGCGCGCGAGGAGGGGAUUAUAAGAGAAGUAGCAAGCCUAGUGGGUAAGCCAGUGGUGGUCGAUGAGCUAAGUAUUAUCAAGGAGGGACCAGC
rnacentral:misc_RNA from 1 species